GACAGUUUGACUGAGUGGUCUAAGGUGCCAUAUUUAGUCUCUGGUCCGAAAGGGCAUGGGUUCAAAUCCCACAACUGUCA
rnacentral:tRNA from 1 species